GGUGUUGGAGAAGGAGUUGUGUGGAAGGUGAGAGGUCUAGGCUGGAAUUGGAGUCAGUUGGAAGGCAGCAUCUGUGCUUUGGCACAGCUUUGGUUAGGGAGGGCAGAAAGAAUAUCUGUGACUUUUCCUCUUCAUGCUCCUGAUUCUGCUGCAGGGAACAAGAGGGCAGAGCUGUACUUUACUGGCCACUUAGAUAUCUGUACCAGGGGAGGAUUAGCCCUUUUGCCAUCUACUCAUUUCUUUGGGCUACUUUUGUACCACUGAGUGGACUUUGAUUUCUUGAGAGCUUUUUUCCUUAAGAGAAUUAGGAUAUUAUCAUCCCUUCAUAGAAAACCAAAGAAUGGCCCUUGUUUUUGCCCUUUUUUUGUGUAGUCUUAUGUUCUGUAAAGUGAUCCUCCGUGGAUGAGGUUAAGGCAAAUGAGUUGCUGCUUUGAGAUGGGAAGCAAAAUUCCAACUCUUCACCUCCUCACGCCAUCCCAAUUAAUUUGGGAAGUUUGCAAAUAUUUGGAACUACUUGAGUUGAACAAUGGGAAGUAAAGCUUUCCUGAAGUGAGGAUUCUUACUUGCCAGAUUCUUCCGUGCCUUGGCCACUAAGGUGUUUUUGUGCUGAAGGCAAGAACUUCAAUGAGAAAAUAAUUUCAGCAUGGGGUAAGAGCUUCUGACAGAGACCAAGUGUUGCCAGCAGUUGCUCCAGGUGCUCCUGCCAAGAGCCCCUGCAGGCAGGAGCGCAGCCCCCAAUGCACGUGGGCUUUGGCUCCCUCUGGCACAGAAGCCCCCCACGGGCACAGGUCUCUCUCUGGGGCAGGAGAAGGGCACCAGCGCUGCCAGGGCUCGGGGGGUGGCAGGUCUGCUUGGGCAGGGACUCUGCCACACCUGCUGAUGUCAGCGCUCCCCGGGCCCCAGGGGUCCGAGCAGCAUUGGUGCCCUGGCCCACACGUUCCUUGUCUGUGUCACACCCGCGGGUUUAGGAUGGCCACCAGCCGGGACGUGUCCCAAGGAGGCCGUGCCAGCUUCUGUGGAAGGCCCUGUGCCCUUCCCAGCACAGCUGCGUCGGCAGCCCUGGGGGCUCCUUCUGCUGCCCUGAGCCCGCAGAGCAGGGCAGCGUUUGCUGAUGGUUUGAGCCGUUCCUAAAGACCCUGUCGGGCUGUCUUAGACACUUGGGGUGAGGGAUUCCUUCCAACCUGGGCCACUUUGGUUGGGCUGGGGUCAGCCCCAGGGCAGGGGGCAGUGUGUGCAGGGCCCCUUUGUGACACGGUGCUGCAUGGUCACCGUGGCAUGGAACGGGACAGCGUGUCCAAGGGCCCUUUGUGACACGGGGUGACACAGGAGCUGGUGGUGACAAGACCACGCCACAGUGCUUGGAGCACGUGACGGGACAGGACGGGACAGAGCGGUGCCGUGAGGAGCCCCCGCACAGCGCACUCGUUCGUGUCUGACCCGGAGCUUUUCCCAGGCGUUAUUCCUGCAGCUGACCUCGAGGCCAGACCACAGGACUUGGUGACCUGUGGCCUUCCCGAGGCUUCUGUUCUGCAGGAGCCCUCGAGACCAGAGUGCCAGACUUGCUGUCCUGUAGCCUUCCUGAGGCUUCUCUCUUGAAGGUGCCUUCCAGGCACAACUGCAGGACUUGCUGACUCGGAGCUUUUCCGAGGCAUCUCUCCUGCAAGUAGCCUCAAAUCCAGUCACUGCCAUGGAGCAGAGACCCCUGAGAGUGCCCAAGCUGGCCUGGGUGGAGGAGGAGGAAGAAGGCCCUGGAGCUUCCCCAGUAGAGGAGAUCAAAGAGGUGGUGCCAUUUGAGCCACUGCAUGAGGAUGCAGCCGUGGACCGCACACAAGAGCAGGACCCUGCCCGUGGCCUCUUCCGCAGAACAGCGCAGGUACCUGCAGCCAUCCCCACCUGGGCUGGGCCUGCUGUCACCGCUCAGCCGAGCACCGCGCUUGGAGCAUUCCGUGGAACAUGCCUGGCUUCCUGCCCUUCUCCUA